AUGGAGUUCUCCACUAUCCACCUACCACCUCCACCUGGCUCUUAUAUGAGGGACAUGGCCAUUGUGGAGGCAGGAGAAGGAAGGUUUGGGAUGUUUACCAUUUCUGAUCAAGUUAAACGUGGUGUAUAUCAUCUCUUGUAUGCCACACGAUGCAAGGAUGGGAAUGGGGCAAACCAGUGGCAACCCAAGCCUCCAAUCUCUUUGCCGGAAAAUUAUCGCUAUUGCAUCAAGGGUGUAGCUGGUGGAUACUUACUCCUAACUGGGUAUCCAAAAGAUGAUAGGCCAACGAUAGACUAUUUUUCACUGGAUCUCCAGACUUUCCAGGUUGAAUGGUUCUGUCAGACUGGUGACUAUGUCAUGAUUGGUCACCUGUAUGCCGAUCUCCCACCGUCCUUGUCCCCACCAACACUUUGA
rnacentral:rRNA from 1 species